CAGCAGCCGCGGGAAUACGUAGGGUGCGAGCGUUAAUCGGAAUUACUGGGCGUAAAGCGUGCGCAGGCGGUUGUGUAAGACAGGUGUGAAAUCCCCGGGCUUAACCUGGGAACUGCGCUUGUGACUGCACAGCUAGAGUAUGGCAGAGGGGGUGGAAUUCCACGUGUAGCAGUGAAAUGCGUAGAGAUGUGGAGGAACACCGAUGGCGAAGGCAGUCCCCUGGGCCAAUACUGACGCUCAUGCACGAAAGCGUGGGGAGCAAACAGGAUUAGAUACCCCUGUAGUCCCUGUCUCUUAUACA
rnacentral:rRNA from 1 species